CUGCAAAUAUUCUCAUUGUUCUGAUUUUUGUGAUAGCCAGGACAGGCCAAACAUUUGCUAUAUUAAUGCCAUGCUUGUAUCCCCAGACCUAGUUCUUUCCCUGGGUCUAGUUUUAUAAAUGCUGAUGAUAAAC
rnacentral:snoRNA from 1 species